rnacentral:rRNA from 1 species
GACAGAGGGUGCAAACGUUGUUCGGAAUUACUGGGCGUAAAGCGCGUGUAGGCGGCAAUACAAGUCAGUUGUGAAAUCUCCGAGCUUAACUCGGAAAGGUCAACUGAUACUGUGCGGCUAGAGUGCGGAAGGGGCAACUGGAAUUCUUGGUGUAGCGGUGAAAUGCGUAGAUAUCAAGAGGAACACCUGCGGCGAAGGCGGGUUGCUGGGCCGACACUGACGCUGAGGCGCGAAAGCCAGGGGAGCGAACGGG